rnacentral:lncRNA from 1 species
GAUCCUCAUCAUCAUCGUCAUCAUCCAAUAUUUCAAAAUUAAAACUUUAUUUGUGUUAAGAAAAUAACGAGACAAAAACAAAACCAAGCUACUAUCACCAAGAACUUGCUGAGGGUUGUACAAGAUUUGAGUAGACAAUAAGCACAAGUCCCCCCUAUUCUGAACGCUAACAACAAUAGUUCAAUUGUGGAAUAGUUCAGUUGCUACAAAUUUGCAUUCUUCAAUAGCAAGCUAAACUCACUAGCAACUGAAGAAUGGAUAAGAAUAAUGGAGCAAAUCUUCAAACAUCUUUCAUACACUGAUGCUCAGAAAAGUAUUAUGUGCAGUCAUAUUGGUUGAUGCAGCGAGCCACUGGUGGAAGUUAGUAUUGCACACUAGAACAGAAGCAAAAAAAAUCCACCAUUUCUUCCACGCUACAACACCCAUAGAAUCCAUCCAACCACAAUCAGAAAACCAUAGCGCAUAAAAUCCUUAAAACCACCGCACCAACAGGAAAAACAGAUGCAAAAAAGGAAGGGGGAAAGAGGGAGAGAUGACUAGCUUCGUGAUGGGCUACCCCCACACCAACUCUAAUCAACCGUACGUUGCUGCUUACGAUGGUAAGGUGCUGGGGCAUCACCCACGGUGGUCGAUUCUUCGCCUAUUGCCGACACACACGAGCUUCUUGAAGAAUCACCGGAGCUUCUCUCAGAUCGGCACUCGUCACGGCAUCGAGCGUCCUACACCCGACGCUAGUCACGGCACUAGCAUUUACCCCAAUCAGAUUUAGCAGAGCCAGUCCCCGUAGAGAGAAGGUAAAGAGAAUGGGGAUAGAGUAGAUAGAGAUUGGAGAGAAUUAGGGUUUGGAAUUGAAU